UACAAUGGAGAGUUUGAUCCUGGCUCAGGAUGAACGCUAGCGGCAGGCCUAACACAUGCAAGUCGAACGGUAACAGAGAGAGCUUGCUCUUUGCUGACGAGUGGCGAACGGGUGAGUAACGCGUAUGCAACCUACCUUUAACUGGGAGAUAGCCCCGAGAAAUCGGGAUUAAUACCCCAUAACAUUACGAAAUCUCAUGUUUUUGUAAUUAAAGCUUCGGCGGUUAAAGAUGGGCAUGCGGGACAUUAGCUAGUUGGUGAGGUAAUAGCUCACCAAGGCUACGAUGUCUAGGGGGCCUGAGAGGGUUAUCCCCCACACUGGUACUGAGACACGGACCAGACUCCUACGGGAGGCAGCAGUGAGGAAUAUUGCGCAAUGGACGAAAGUCUGACGCAGCCAUGCCGCGUGCAGGAUGACGGCCCUACGGGUUGUAAACUGCUUUUAUAUAGGAAGAAACCCCUUUACGUGUAAAGGGCUGACGGUACUAUACGAAUAAGCACCGGCUAACUCCGUGCCAGCAGCCGCGGUAAUACGGAGGGUCCAAGCGUUAUCCGGAUUUAUUAGGUUUAAAGGGUCCGCAGGCGGGAUUUUAAGUCAGUGGUGAAAGCCUACAGCUCAACUGUAGAACUGCCAUUGAUACUGAUAGACUUGAAUGCGGUUGAAGUGGGUGGAAUGUGUAGUGUAGCGGUGAAAUGCAUAGAUAUUACACAGAACUCCGAUUGCGAAGGCAACUCACUAAACCGUUAUUGAC
rnacentral:rRNA from 1 species